GACGAACGCUGGCGGCGUGCUUAACACAUGCAAGUCGAACGAUGAAGCUAGAGCUUGCUCUGGUGGAUUAGUGGCGAACGGGUGAGUAACACGUGAGUAACCUGCCCCGAACUCUGGGAUAACUGCUGGAAACGGUAGCUAAUCCCGGAUAGGACCCAUGAAGGCCUUUUCUGUUGGUGGGAUGAAUUUCGGUUCGGGAUGGACUCGCGGCCUAUCAGCUUGUUGGUGAGGUAACGGCUCACCAAGGCGACGACGGGUAGCCGGCCUGAGAGGGUGAUCGGCCACACUGGGACUGAGACACGGCCCAGACUCCUACGGGAGGCAGCAGUGGGGAAUAUUGCACAAUGGGCGCAAGCCUGAUGCAGCAACGCCGCGUGAGGGACGACGGCCUUCGGGUUGUAAACCUCUUUUAGUAGGGAAGAAGCGAAAGUGACGGUACCUGCAGAAAAAGCACCGGCUAACUACGUGCCAGCAGCCGCCGUAA
rnacentral:rRNA from 1 species